ensembl:lncRNA
CCAGUCCCUGCCUCUGAAAAACAUCCCACAGCAUGAUGCUGCCACCACUGCACUUCACCGUAGGGAUGGUGCCAGGUUUCCUCCAGACAUGAUGCUGCCACCACUGCACUUCACCGUAGGGAUGGUGCCAGGUUUCCUCCAGACAUGAUGCUGCCACCACCAUGCUUCACCGUAGGGAUGGUUCCAGGUUUCCUCCAGACGUGAUGCUUGGCAUUAAAGUUAGAGUUCAAUCUUGGUUUCAUCAGACCAGAGAAUGUAGUUUCUCGUCACCUCCCUGACCAAGGCCCUGCUACCCAGAUUGCUCAGUUUGGGCAGGCGGCCAGCUCUAGGAAGAGUCUUGGUGGUUGCAAACGUCUCCCAUUUAAGAAUGAUGGAGGCAGUGUUCUUGGGGAUCUUCAAUGCUGCAUAAAUGUGUUGGUACCCUUCCCCAGAUCUGUUCCUCAACACAAUCCUGUCUCAGAGCUCUACGGACAAUUCCUUCGACCGCAUGUCUUAGUUUUUGCUCUGACAUCUACUGUGGGACCUUGUAUAGACCGGUGUGCGCCUUCCCAAAUCAUGUCCAAUCAAUUGAAUUUACCACAGGUGGACUUCAUCCUUGAUGUUUCUAAAAAUGGAUGGAAACAUGAUGCAAAGGGUCUGAAUACUAAGGUACUACAGAUGAUUAAUUUAUUAUAUAUUAGAAACAACCUGUUUUCGCUUUGUCAUUAUAGGGUAUUGUGUGUAGAUUGAGGGGGAAAACAAUAUUUAAUCAAUUUUAGAAGGCUGUAACGUAACAAUGUGGGAAGAGUCAAGGGAUCUGAAUACUUUCCGAAUGCAUUGUGUGAACAAAAUAAAUGACAUGGCCGGCUGCCCAUGAGCAUGUUUAAAAAAUUGCACAAUUGUUCUGUUGUCAAUCAUUUAUAUUGAGUAUUUGGCUGACCAGUGGGCAACGGCCAGACUCCCUACCAAGAUGCCCGCUUUUCUGGUUGGAUGAGCUGGCGCAAUUUCACAUUCAAAGUCAGUGAGACCCGCUCUGACUGUUCGGGCUCAGGCGCGAAGUGUUUAGGCCACUCAAGCUCACAAAAUGAGACCACCGAUGCAAUCUUCGCUCUCUCCCACUACUCUUCCAUCCCAUCCACUUCCUUCUGUGAAAUACUCCCUUCUGUCUCUUGACUGCCUUUUCAACCCGACUCUCCUCCCAUCCUUUGACACCAACUGUCCCCUUUCCUCCCGGGCAGCCCGAUCCUCCUCUCCAUGACUGAGUGACUCACUACGUGCUAACAGAACAGGGUUGCUAACAGAACAGGGUUGCUAACAGAACAGGGUUGCUAACAGAACAGGGUUGCUAACAGAACAGGGUUGCUAACAGAACAGGGUUGCUAACAGAACAGUUACACAGAACUGGAAGAAAACUAAACUUCCGGAGGACCUAUCAUCCUUCCACUCUCUCUACGUAGCAAGUACGCACGAUUACAUGUGAGUACUGUGUAGAAAGUGUGAAGAGGCUGUAAGAAAAGAAACUUGUAUUUUAUUACAUUUGUU